UACAGAGGUGGCAAGCGUUGUUCGGAAUUACUGGGCGUAAAGGGCGCGUAGGCGGCCUUCUAAGUCAGACGUGAAAUCCCCCGGCUUAACCUGGGAACUGCGUCUGAUACUGGGAGGCUUGAGUAUGGGAGAGGGAUGUAGAAUUCCAGGUGUAGCGGUGAAAUGCGUAGAUAUCUGGAGGAAUACCGGUGGCGAAGGCGGCAUCCUGGACCGGCAUUGACGCUGAGGCGCGAAAGCGAGGGGAGCAAACGGG
rnacentral:rRNA from 1 species